UGGAGGCAGCAGUGGGGAAUCUUGCACAAUGGGGGCAACCCUGAUGCAGCGACGCCGCGUGAGCGAUGAAGCCCUUCGGGGUGUAAAGCUCUUUCGGCCGGAACGAUGAUGACGGUACCGGCAGAAGAAGCUGCGGCUAACUACGUGCCAGCAGCCGCGGUAAUACGUAGGCAGCGAGCGUUGUUCGGAGUUACUGGGCGUAAAGAGUGCGUAGGCGGUGCUCUAAGUUUGGUGUGAAAUCUCCCGGCUCAACUGGGAGGGUGCGCCGAAAACUGGAGUGCUCGAGUGUGGGAGAGGUAAGCGGAAUUCCUGGUGUAGCGGUGAAAUGCGUAGAUAUCAGGAGGAACACCUGCGGUGUAGACGGCUUACUGGACCAUGACUGACGCUGAGGCACGAAAGCGUGGGUAGCAAACAGGAUUAGAUACCCCCGUAC
rnacentral:rRNA from 1 species